CCACCUCCCCUGCAAAUGUCCAGUGACGCAGAAGUUAUGGACGUUGGCUCUGGUGGUGAUG
rnacentral:pre_miRNA from 1 species